GUUCUCAGUGGCCACCCUGCGCUACCCUCUCCCAGAACCUGAGCUGCUCUGACGCGGCCGUCUGGUGCGUUUCACUGAUCCUGGUGCUGCAGCUUCCUUACACUUCCCAAGAGGAGAAGCAGUUUGGAAAAACAAAAUCAGAAUAAGUUGGUCCUGAGUUCUAACUUUGGCUCUUCACCUUUCUAGUCCCCAAUUUAUAUUGUUCCUCCGUGCGUCAGUUUUACCUGUGAGAUAAGGCCAGUAGCCAGCCCCGUCCUGGCAGGGCUGUGGUGAGGAGGGGGGUGUCCGUGUGGAAAACUCCCUUUGUGAGAAUGGUGCGUCCUAGGUGUUCACCAGGUCGUGGCCGCCUCUACUCCCUUUCUCUUUCUCCAUCCUUCUUUCCUUAAAGAGUCCCCAGUGCUAUCUGGGACAUAUUCCUCCGCCCAGAGCAGGGUCCCGCUUCCCUAAGGCCCUGCUCUGGGCUUCUGGGUUUGAGUCCUUGGCAAGCCCAGGAGAGGCGCUCAGGCUUCCCUGUCCCCCUUCCUCGUCCACCAUCUCAUGCCCCUGGCUCUCCUGCCCCUUCCCUACAGGGGUUCCUGGCUCUGCUCUUCAGACUGAGCCCCGUUCCCCUGCAUCCCCGUUCCCCUGCAUCCCCCUUCCCCUGCAUCCCCCAGAGGCCCCAGGCCACCUACUUGGCCUGGACCCCACGAGAGGCCACCCCAGCCCUGUCUACCAGGCUGCCUUUUGGGUGGAUUCUCCUCCAACUGUGGGGUGACUGCUUGGCAAACUCACUCUUCGGGGUAUCCCAGGAGGCCUGGAGCAUUGGGGUGGGCUGGGGUUCAGAGAGGAGGGAUUCCCUUCUCAGGUUACGUGGCCAAGAAGCAGGGGAGCUGGGUUUGGGUCAGGUCUGGGUGUGGGGUGACCAGCUUAUGCUGUUUGCCCAGGACAGCCUAGUUUUAGCACUGAAACCCUCAGUCCUAGGAAAACAGGGAUGGUUGGUCACUGUCUCUGGGUGACUCUUGAUUCCCGGCCAGUUUCUCCACCUGGGGCUGUGUUUCUCGUCCUGCAUCCUUCUCCAGGCAGGUCCCCAAGCAUCGCCCCCCUGCUGUGGCUGUUCCCAAGUUCUUAGGGUACCCCACGUGGGUUUAUCAACCACUUGGUGAGGCUGGUACCCUGCCCCCAUUCCUGCACCCCAAUUGCCUUAGUGGCUAGGGGGUUGGGGGCUAGAGUAGGAGGGGCUGGAGCCAGGAUUCUUAGGGCUGAACAGAGAAGAGCUGGGGGCCUGGGCUCCUGGGUUUGAGAGAGGAGGGGCUGGGGCCUGGACUCCUGGGUCCGAGGGAGGAGGGGCUGGGGCCUGGACUCCUGGGUCUGAGGGUGGAGGGACUGGGGGCCUGGACUCCUGGGUCCGAGGGAGGAGGGGCUGGGGCCUGGACUCGUGGGUCUGAGGGAGGAGGGGCUGGGGGCCUGGACUUCUGGGUCUUAGGGAGGCGGGGCUGGGCCUGGACCCCUGGGUCUGAAUGGGGAGAGGCUGGGGGCCUGGACUCCUUCAUCUGAGGGCGGAAGGGCUGGGGCCUGGCCUCCUGGGUUGAAUGGGGAGGGGUUGGGCCUGGACUCUGGAGUCCCUGGUGCCCAGGCCUCAGGCAUCUUUCACAGGGAUGCCUGUACUGGGCAGGUCCUUGAAAGGGAAAGGCCCAUUGCUCUCCUUGCCCCCCUCCCCUAUCGCCAUGACAACUGGGUGGAAAUAAACGAGCCGAGUUCAUCCCGUUCCCAGGGCACGUGCGGCCCCUUCACAGCCCGAGUUUCCAUGACCUCAUGCUCUUGGCCCUCGUAGCUCCCUCCCGCCUCCUCCAGAUGGGCAGCUUUGGAGAGGUGAGGGACUUGGGGGGUAAUUUAUCCCGUGGAUCUAGGAGUUUAGCUUCACUCCUUCCUCAGCUCCAGUUCAGGUCCCGGAGCCCACCCAGUGUCCACAAGGCCUGGGGCAAGUCCCUCCUCCGACCCCCUGGACUUCGGCUUUUGUCCCCCCAAGUUUUGGACCCCUAAGGGAAGAAUGAGAAACGGUGGCCCGUGUCAGCCCCUGGCUGCAGGGCCCCGUGCAGAGGGGGCCUCAGUGAACUGGAGUGUGACAGCCUGGGGCCCAGGCACACAGGUGUGCAGCUGUCUCACCCCUCUGGGAGUCCCGCCCAGGCCCCUGAGUCUGUCCCAGCACAGGGUGGCCUUCCUCCACCCUGCAUAGCCCUGGGCCCACGGCUUCGUUCCUGCAGAGUAUCUGCUGGGGUGGUUUCCGAGCUUGACCCUUGGAAGGACCUGGCUGGGUUUAAGGCAGGAGGGGCUGGGGGCCAGGACUCCUGGCUCUGAAGGAGGAGGGGCUGGAACCUCUUCCCUAGUCUGAGCACUGGAAGCGCCACCUGUGGGUGGUGACGGGGGUUUUGCCGUGUCUAACAGGUACCAUGUGGGGUUCCCGCACCCAGAUGAGAAGCCCCCUCCCUUCCCCGUUCACUUCCUGUUUGCAGAUAGCCAGGAGUCCUUUCGUGGUUUCCACUGAGCACUGAAGGCCUGGCCGGCCUGACCACUGGGCAACCAGGCGUAUCUUAAACAGCCAGUGGCCAGAGGCUGUUGGGUCAUUUUCCCCACUGUCCUAGCACCGUGUCCCUGGAUCUGUUUUCGUGGCUCCCUCUGGAGUCCCGACUUGCUGGGACACCGUGGCUGGGGUAGGUGCGGCUGACGGCUGUUUCCCACCCCCAGGCCUGCAUUGAUGAGAACCUGGAGGUGGUGCGCUUCUUGGUGGAGCAGGGCGCCACUGUGAACCAGGCAGACAACGAGGGCUGGACGCCACUGCACGUGGCCGCCUCCUGUGGCUACCUAGAUAUCGCCAGGUGAGGCAAGGGAGGGCCGGGCAGGACCUGGUCGGGGUGGGGGCCUGGACCCUCAGCCCUGACCAGCCCCCACCCCCAGGUACCUCCUGAGCCACGGGGCCAACAUCGCCGCCGUCAACAGUGACGGGGACCUGCCCCUGGACCUGGCCGAGUCGGACGCCAUGGAGGGGCUGCUGAAGGCGGAGAUCGCCCGCCGAGGUGGGCUCUGGUGUGCUGUGUGUGGGGUGGGGGACACCUCCUCACCCGUGGUCUCCAGGCUGAGAGCUUUAGAGGCGGCCUGGGCACCGAGGCUGACCCUGCUUCCUAGGAUUGUCUUUCUUUGUGCCUCAGUUUCCUCACCUGUGAAAUGGGGGUGUAGGGGCCUGCCUCCAGGAUUGCUUGGAGCCCAGCACACGCACAGGAUGAGAACUCAAACCCCUACCAACUGGGACUGUCAAUCCCCCUGAGUAACUGAGGGGAUUGGAAUGCCGGGGCGGGGUGGGUGGGUGGAGGGACUCACCCAGGAGUGCGUUAGGUAGGAUUGCUGGAACCCUGCCGCAGGUCUUUCUGGGAGGGGAUGCGUUUACUUGGGGGGGAGUAGGGGCAUGCAGGGGUUGCCAGGGACUGGUCUCCCUGUCCUCUGAGACUCAUCGUACCCCAGGAGCCUUCAUAUGGGGUCCAGGAGCCCCUGAAACUGUGUCUGGCCAGGUUCAUUUUUCUAGGGAAGGGGUGUUGCUUCUAGCAGGUGUGUGAUGGCCACACAGGAUCCCUGGGUCCCCAGCAUGUCUUCUAAAGUCCUGGGCUUGCCUCCCAGCUCUGCCUGUGACUGGUGACUCCAGGCACGUCCCUGAAGCUUGCUUCCCUGAUUUCCUAAAACAGGACCACUGGUGCCGCUUCAUGGGGUGGUUGUCAGGGUCUGGCUGGGUUGGAGUGGAAGGGUGUGAGCAUGGUUCCCGGCAGACUCCAGGGGACCGUGUGGAAGGAAAGGGAGACUGACGAGGAAAUGAGAUACCGGCAGCCUCCGAGACUUCUGACGCGGCUGUCCUGACGGGGCCGCUGGCCAGGCUGAAAGGAUAGGAUUCCGCGUGGGUUCAGGGGUCCACGAGAGCCAUGCGGGAGGACUAGCUAGUGGGACACGUGACGGCGGAGAUCUGAGGUUCGGGAGCCCCUCUUUGGUUGAAAUGGGGAGUGGGUCAAAUCAGCCCUGGACCUGGAUUCUGUCUCCUUCCUCCUCCAACUUUUUAUUUUGGGAAAGCUUCAGAUUUACAGAAAAGUUGAAGCAAUAGCAUGUGACUACCCAUAUGACUUUC
rnacentral:lncRNA from 1 species